UACGUAGGGCGCGAGCGUUAAUCGGAAUUACUGGGCGUAAAGCGUGCGCAGGCGGUUUGAUAAGCCAGAUGUGAAAUCCCCGAGCUCAACUUGGGAACUGCGUUUGGAACUGUCAGACUAGAGUGCGUCAGAGGGGGGUGGAAUUCCGCGUGUAGCAGUGAAAUGCGUAGAGAUGCGGAGGAACACCGAUGGCGAAGGCAGCCCCCUGGGAUGACACUGACGUUCAUGCACGAAAGCGUGGGGAGCAAACAGG
rnacentral:rRNA from 1 species